AGCGAACGCUGGCGGCAGGCCUAACACAUGCAAGUCGAACGAACUCUUCGGAGUUAGUGGCGGACGGGUGAGUAACACGUGGGAACGUGCCUUUUGGUUCGGAAUAACUCAGGGAAACUUGUGCUAAUACCGAAUGUGCCCUUCGGGGGAAAGAUUUAUCGCCAUUAGAGCUGCCCGCGUCUGAUUAGCUAGUUGGUGAGGUAACGGCUCACCAAGGCGACGAUCAGCAGCUGGUCUGAGAGGAUGACCAGCCACACUGGGACUGAGACACGGCCCAGACUCCUACGGGAGGCAGCAGUGGGGAAUCUUGCGCAAUGGACGAAAGCAUGACGCAGCCAUGCCGCGUGAAUGAUGAAGGUCUUAGGAUUGUAAAAUUCUUUCGCCGGAGACGAUAAUGACGGUACCCGGAGAAGAAGCCCCGGCUAACUUCGUG
rnacentral:rRNA from 1 species